GAGGUGGCACGUGAAGGUGAUGAUGCCCUCGGCACGCUUUCAGCCUGCCUGGUGACUGUGCAGGAAGAGAUGCAGCGCUGUCUCUUCAGCCCCUUUGACGGGGAGCUGGUGACGGGUCAUAUGGAAGUUCCCAAGCAAGGGGCUGAAUUGGAGCUGAAGCUGCUGGCCUUCACCACAGCCACAGCAAGGUGGUAUCUACACCACAGCUCAUACCCCAUCCCGGACCCGCGGAGCGAGGACUAAUAGACUUUAGAUGGAGGGCAUGUACCAAGAAGAGAGCAAAGACCAACGAUAACUUUUAGUACCAGAAAUUUGUUUUCCAAACACCUGCUCUUCUCACCUUCCUGGGAUUUGUCUUCCUCCGCUUUGAAGUCCUGACCCCUACCCCUUCUUAGCUCAGGGCCCUCUACUGGAUAGAGACCUGGGCUCUGCUCAUUCUGGGGCUGCUGCAGCUGAGAGAUCCUGGACCCUGGGAUAGAUGCCGGCAGAAGUUAAGAAUUCUUACCACGUCUUUGACUGCUUAAGAAAACUGAGUCUUCUCUAUUAAAGGAGAAAUGCCUCUGAUUAAAGACCUGAUUACUUGUGCAAUAGAGACCUAACUUUGGGGCCCACCUACAUCUCCACCUCCUGAAAAUGUGUUUAACCUGUUUUCAGGACUAAGAGACUGAUUCAGCGAGAUGGAACAAUCUUCCAACUCAACUUCUGGAUGGUGAAACUUCUUGGGGAUGCCUCGGGGCAGGAUCGAGGGAGGGCAGAAUAUGCCACCCCCAAAAUAUGCCACUUUGGAAAAGGGAUUAUUUUCAGCUGAAGACAAUCAAGGCCUGACAGACUCAGGAAGAGGUGUAUACCUUCCCUUACCAGGAAGAGAGUGAAUAUCAAAGAACUUUUGUAUCAGAAACUUAUCCGCAUGGCAUUAUCAGACACCUGCUCUUCUUACCUUUCUGGGGCUUGUCUCCUCCACUUUGAAGUUCUGACCCCUACCCCCCUUCUCCUUAGCUCAGGAUGGCAUGUAAGCCUCAAUGGCCUGACUGUCUUGGGGUCUCAUGUCUUUGGGGCUCCUGUACAUAUGAAAUUUGUUUCUCCUGUUCAUCUGUCUUAUAUCAAUUUAAAUAUUAGACUGGCCAAGGAACCUAGAAGGGAAGAAGGGAAAAGCUUUCUGCCCCUACAUCAUCAAUUCAUUUUGAGGCCUGAUUUAGGAGUCUACACCGGCCUUGUGUUCUCUCAGAAGAGAUGGCAAGGACCUUCUCAUCUGCAGGGGCUUUGGACUUCUAGCCCCUUUGGCUGAGGCCAGGUCGGAGCCUCUUAUUGGGCCCCAGCUAGAAUAAGUUUAUAUGCUUUAUUCCUUUUCUUGGGUCAUCAUUUCCCCAUCUUUUAAAAUAAGAAUUAAUUUUAGAAGAAGUGUUUUCAUGGCUCUUGGUGCCCUUUUGGUGCCUUUUAUAUUAAACCUCCUCUUUUUUUAUUAUUUUGCUAUGCCCAUAGCAUAUAGAAGUUCCCAGGCCAGGUAUCGAACCUGAGCCUACAGCAGUGACAAUGUCAAAUCCUUAACCACUGGCCACCAGAGAACUCCUGAACCUCCUCGUUUAUGUUAUUUCCUCUAAACCAAGAGUGUUCAUGGAACACAUGCUAUGCACAGAACUAGAAAUAAAAAGUAAAUUAAAUAUGUUCCUACUUUCUGGGCAUUGAAAAACUUAUUUGGACUGGGGAUAAAGAAAAAGUUUGGGAAAUUGAUGGUGGUGAUGGUUGCACAACAAUGUGAGUGGACUUAAUUCCACUGAACUGUACAUUUAAAAAAGUAUGAAAAUGGGAGUUCCUAUUGUGGCUCAGUGGGUUAUGAACCGAAAUAGUAUCCAUGGGGAUGCAGGUUUGAUUCCUGGCCUCACUCAGUGGGUUAAGGAUCUGGUGUUACUGUAAGCUGCAGUGUAGGUUGCAGAUGUGGCUUGGAUCUGGCGCUGCUGUGGCUGUGGCAUAGGCCAGCAGCUGCAGCUCUGAUAUGACCCCUAGCCUGGGAACUUCCAUAUGCUGCAGGUGUGGUCCUAAAAAAAAAAAAAAAAGAAGAAGAAGAAGAAGAAAGAAAAAAAAAAGUAUGAAAAUGCUACAGUGAGGUAUCACCUCACUCUAGUCAGAAUCACUAUCAUUAAAUAGUUUACAAAUAGGAGUUUCCAUCGUGGCACAGCGAAAACGAAUCUGACUAGGAAACAUAAGGUUGUGGGUUCGAUCCCUGGCCUUACUCAGUGGGUUAAGGAUCCGGCAUUGCCAUGAGCUGUGGUGUAGGUCGCAGACACAGCUUGGAUUUGGCGUUGCCGUGGCUCUGGUGUAGGCCAGCAGCUACAGCUCCGAUUAGACCCCUAGCCUGGGAACCUCCAUAUGCCAUGGGGGUGGCCCUAAAAAGACAAAAGACAAAAAAAAAAAAA
rnacentral:lncRNA from 1 species